rnacentral:lncRNA from 1 species
ACUGUAAUGGCCUGACCACUAAGUAUAACCGACGAUUGGGCUCAAGCAGAAAAGACUAUCAGGUGCUGAUACUUUAAUCAAGAGUCAAUCUAACAAAUGGUAAAAUGCUGAAAAACAAAUAAAAUACAAUUUUACAAUGUGUUCAAUUAAUGUUAUUAUAACGAAAUGUCAAAGGUAAUUGAUAGCACAGUCCGUUGAAUGCGAGAAAAUGUUGUACUUUCAAGAACAGUUACAUUC